UUAAAAACUCAUGAAACAAUUUCUCUCUUUAGGGUUUAGUUAUCAUGACCGACUCAAUAUUAUACAGUGAAAAGCUAAAUCCACAUGAGGAUUAGUUAAAAGUUUAAUAAUUUUAGUCAAAUUUUGUUUAAGAUUUAGUCAAAUUUUAUAGAAGUUUUAGACUUUAGUCCAACCUCAUAUCAGUCGUUGGUCAAACUUAAUGUGACAAAUAGAGAAAUGUUUUUCAUGGUAAAGAUUUCUACUCUACAAAAAGUUAUAUAAAUAGAGUACCUCUUGAAGAUAUAGACAAUUAUAAAAUUUCACUUGUGUUUUGUAUAUCAAACUAAUAGUAAAAUAAACACAAUGGCUUUUACAAAAUCAUCUGUGACUCUUUUUCUUAUAAUAAUGCUGACAAUUUCGUUUUCAAACGAUAGAGUUAUGGCGAGGCCAGGGAUUAAACAAGGACAAGGUGAAACAUGCAUUGGAAGAUGUGCGCAACAGUAUGGAAAUAGGCAAUGUAGUAAAAAUUGUAUUGCUCAUAAUUAUUCAGGAGGAGAGUGUGCUUUCGUUUCUGGAGGCGCGACCAUACCACAAUGUUGUUGUUUCAAAUGAUAAAUAGAGAUCGAUUGUGUGUUACUUUGCAAUUUCUUGAUACAGAAUCCAAUGAAAUAAAACUAAUAUUAAUACUACCGCUUUUAUAA